GCAGAAGUUAAACAGCAGGGUUUAAACAGGACCUAGAAUAAUUGAGUGGACUGACAAAGCACAUGACCAACCGCCAGGUAGGACUUUGAAAAUACCACUGACUCGUUUCUGCUAGUGGGUGUCUCCCCACUGCGCUGUAGUGAAUCUAAACUCCACCUCUGAGUUGUAUCUUUCGCAGGGCUGUCGAGGGUUGGGAGAACUCUUCAGUUUCUGGGUGGCAUCUUAGCGUACCUACCCUUAACCUUAAGACACCAGUGUUUGGUUUGAAGCAGACAGCAUGGUGCCCUACAUCCUGGAACAUUGCCACAGAUUUGAGGCCAGUUUGGGCUGCAUAAUGAUUUCCAGACCAGCCUCAGCUGCAGAGUAAAACAGUUCUGGGAAAUGGCAGGUACAUUAUUAACUCACAGUGCAAGAGACCCUUCUGUUCGCUUUGGGGUUGUUUGUCUGUUUGUUUGUUUGUUUGUUUGUUUGUUUGUUUUUCUAGGUGCACACUAAUAAAAGUCAAAUGGCU
rnacentral:lncRNA from 1 species